UACGAAGGGGGCGAGCGUUGUUCGGAAUCACUGGGCGUAAAGGGCGCGUAGGCGGCCCUCUUAGUCGCGUGUGAAAGCCCCGGGCUCAACCUGGGAACGGCGCGCGGGACGGGAGGGCUGGAGUUCGGGAGAGGAGCGUGGAAUUCCCAGUGUAGAGGUGAAAUUCGUAGAUAUUGGGAAGAACACCGGUGGCGAAGGCGGCGCUCUGGACCGAGACUGACGCUGAGGCGCGAAAGCGUGGGGAGCAAACAGG
rnacentral:rRNA from 1 species